rnacentral:rRNA from 1 species
AGCCUUAGGUAAAUGUCUAAGGUUUGACCUGCCCAAUGUGCAAAGAUUAAUUUAAUAUGAAUGGCCGCGGUACUUUGACCGUGCUAAGGUAGCGUAAUCAAUUGGCUUUUAAUUGGGGUCAGGAAUGAAUGGAGUCACGGGGUUUUACUGUCUCUUAACUAAUAAUUUGAAGUUACUAUGUAAGUGAAAAAGCUUUCUUGAAGAAAAAGGACGAGAAGACCCUUAGAGUUUUAUUAAAGUAUAAGUUAUUACUUAUAUCGAUUUAGUUGGGGCAACUUGGGAUAGCAGAAAUUUAAUAAUCUCUCAAAUGUUACGUAUCGAUUCUAUUAAAUUUGUAUAAACUACCUUAGGGAUAACAGCAUAAUUUUACAUUAAAGUUUGUGACCUCGAUGUUGGACUAGGAUACUAAAAGGCUAGCCGUCUUUUAGGAAAGUUCUGUUCGAACUGUGAUUCCU